rnacentral:lncRNA from 1 species
GGUGCUGAAAGAGUAUUCAUCAACCUCUUCCACAGUCAUGCUCGCUGGAAGAGAAUACCAGUCGUAUCUUGGGAUGGUCUUUUCGGAGUUCUUGCACGAAGGAUGAAAAUAUGCUUUAGGACGGUGCCUCGCAUGCUUCCGGUUUGAUCAGUUUUAAUUUUUAUCAUUAUAUUAUAUUUAGAUUCUCAUUAUUCUUAAAUCACAUUUGAGUUUUUAAGUAUUUGUUCUAACACAUGAAAUAUUGAUAUAUCAAGAUUGAUAACGAUAUUGAUAUAGG